AAGUCUGAAGAGGAGUCAAAUGCUUCUUUUCUUAAGGACAAGCUGUGAUGGGGAGGGAAAUAAUAGUACCGAAGUUCCUGAUGUCACACUGCCGAGAAAAGCUUCUAGUGAGAAAACAGCGGCCCGUACCGCAAACCGACACAGGUAGUCGAGGAGAGAAUCCUAAGGUGAGCGAGAGAACUCUCGUUAAGGAACUCGGCAAAAUGACCCCGUAACUUCGGGAGAAGGGGUGCUGAUCAUACGAUCAGCCGCAGUGAAUAGGCCCAAGCGACUGUUUAUCAAAAACACAGGUCUCUGCAAAAUCGUAAGAUGAAGUAUAGGGGCUGACGCCUGCCCGGUGCUGGAAGGUUAAGAGGAGUGCUUAGCGCAAGCGAAGGUACGAAUUGAAGCCCCAGUAAACGGCGGCCGUAACUAUAACGGUCCUAAGGUAGCGAAAUUCCUUGUCGGGUAAGUUCCGACCCGCACGAAAGGCGUAACGAUUUGGGCACUGUCUCAACGAGAGACUCGGUGAAAUUUUAGUACCUGUGAAGAUGCAGGUUACCCGCGACAGGACGGAAAGACCCCAUGGAGCUUUACUGUAGUUUGAUAUUGAGUGUCUGUACCGCAUGUACAGGAUAGGUAGGAGCCGUAGAAAUCGGAACGCUAGUUUCGAUGGAGGCGCUGGUGGGAUACUACCCCUGCG
rnacentral:rRNA from 1 species